GACGAGCCCGUCCUAACGUUGUUCGGAUUCACUGGGCUUAAAGGGCGCGUAGGCGGGUGAGCAAGUCCGGGGUGAAAUCUUUCGGCUUAACCGGAAAACUGCCUUGGAUACUGCUCGUCUAGAGGGAGGUAGGGGUCUGUGGAACUUCCGGUGGAGCGGUGAAAUGCGUUGAUAUCGGAAGGAACGCCGGUGGCGAAAGCGACGGACUGGACCUCUUCUGACGCUGAGGCGCGAAAGCUAGGGUAGCGAACGGGAUUAGAUACCCGU
rnacentral:rRNA from 1 species